rnacentral:rRNA from 1 species
GUCGAGACGACAUCGCUUCGGGCAUGAGUGGCAGCACGGGUGCAGUAACAGCGUGGGAACUCGUAGCCCUUGUGGUUCGGAACUAACUCGCUGUAGAAAUUGAGCGUAGCUAAUACCGGAUAAUCGACUGUAAGUCGCGAAAGAGUUUAUCGCCCAGAGGGAUCGAGGCCCGCGUCUGAUUAGCUAGUUGGUGGGGUAAACGGCCUACCAAGUGCGACGAUCCAUUAGCUGGUCUGAGAGGAUGAUCAGCCACACUGGGACUGAGGACACGGCCCAGACUCCUACGGGAGGCAGCAGUGGGGAAUAUUGGACAAUUGGGCUGACAAGCCUGAUCCAGCACAUUGCCGCGUGAGUGAUGAAGGCCUUAGGGU